GUGAGUGCUGGGUAGAAUGGGAAAUGAGGGAUGGAAGCUGCAACCGAGGGGCUAUAGGCUCAAGCUGGGCUUGUGAUGCUCUCUGUAGAGCAUCCUCCUCUCGGCCCCUGUCACUUUCUACUCUGCCUUCUACUCAG
ensembl:miRNA Mir7060 microRNA 7060